rnacentral:rRNA from 1 species
GAUGAACGCUGGCGGCGUGCCUAAUACAUGCAAGUCGAGCGAACAGACGAGGAGCUUGCUCCCCUGACGUUAGCGGCGGACGGGUGAGUAACACGUGGAUAACCUACCUAUAAGACUGGGAUAACUUCGGGAAACCGGAGCUAAUACCGGAUAAUAUAUUGAACCGCAUGGUUCAAUAGUGAAAGACGGUUUUGCUGUCACUUAUAGAUUGAUCCGCGCCGCAUUAGCUAGUUGGUAAGGUAACGGCUUACCAAGGCAACGAUUCGUAGCCGACCUGAGAGGGUGAUCAGCCACACUGGAACUGAGACACGGUCCAGACUCCUACGGGAGGCAGCAGUAGGGAAUCUUCCGCAAUGGGCGAAAGCCUGACGGAGCAACGCCGCGUGAGUGAUGAAGGUCUUCGGAUCGUAAAACUCUGUUAUUAGGGAAGAACAAAUGUGUAAGUAACUAUGCACGUCUUGACGGUACCUAAUCAGAAAGCCACGGCUAACUACGUG